GUUCCGGUUCCCAGAUUUGUCUAACCCACAUCUGCCGGUCAUCACCUCCACCGCUCUAUUCUGCUUCACCCAUACGAUGCUUUGAUUUGGGGGUUAUAAAGCGACAUGGUGGAAUACCAUCUGAGUGUCGGCAAAAUGGAAAUCCAAAUAGAUGAAGAUCAAUCGGAAGCGAAGUCGCCGGAACCCUAAAAAGGUCUCGAUUAGUUCAUCGUUGGGUACUAACAACAAUCGGGUCUCCAAGUAGAUGAAACAAUUGGAGCGUUUGCAAGUUCGGAAAUGACCGUGUUUUGCCGAUGAUUCGUCUCGGUUAGUCGAAUUAGAGCUUUUGUUACGGAAUUGAGGAUGAUAUCAGUCUUCCCAUGGCGUUAACGUUAUCGCUUUGUAAGGAUGAUAUUAGUCCUCCCUCACCGGGAUUCAGUGCUAUUUUUUUGGUCUUUUAACUAGGAAAAUGAGAGAACGCAUAGUCAUGUUUCCCCUGCAAACCGUUGCUGUUUGUUUCUUUAUGCCCGUCUCUGUGCGACCCAGAGAAGUGGAUGUACAAAUGGACAUUGAUGAUCACGAGACUCCGACAUCAGAAAAUACCAGGCCGUCCAGAAGAUUUGGGGCAGCGUUUCGCCUCCCUGAAACUGAGGCAGCAGCUGGUGCUACUGGUUUUGACCCGUUUGCUGCUUCUGCUGAUGGAGUUGAUGAUGCUGACUUAUACAACUAGAUUAGCAUAAAUCACGUUACAAGUCAACACUUAUACAUGAUCAUAUAUGCAUAUAUAGAAAGGUCCAACAAUGAAAAUGCAAUGUGAAAGCACACAAGGCGCGCACCCAGGCUUAGCGUCGCAUCCCAACCAAACGCACAAGACUUGAAAGCCCACCUUUCAGGCGCAAAAUGAGGUGAUUUUUCGACCAAAAACGAGUAAACAAAACCCCUAAUUAUAUGCUCAUUUCGUUGGUGUUUCAGGGAAAGUUGUAGAAGUGGCUAGGUUGUUGUGAAUUGGGAAAAUGUCAUCAGCAUUUUACCUCCUUUUGUAAAUGCAAUUUGUAUCUAUCCAUAUUCAUACAACGCUUGGACUCAAUGUUAUAUUUAUGGGUUUAUC